rnacentral:rRNA from 1 species
AACACAGGGAUUACCUCAGUAACGGCGAGUGAAGCGGUAACAGCUCAAAUUUGAAAGCUGGCUCUUUUAGGGUCCGCGUUGUAAUUUGUAGAAGACGCUUCGGGUGUGGCCCCGGUCUAAGUUCCUNGGAACAGGACGUCAUAGAGGGUGAGAAUCCCGUAUGCGGUCAGGUGCCUACGCUCAUGUGAAGCUCCUUCGACGAGUCGAGUUGUUUGGGAAUGCAGCUCAAAAUGGGUGGUAAAUUUCAUCUAAAGCUAAAUAUUGGCCAGAGACCGAUAGCGCACAAGUAGAGUGAUCGAAAGAUGAAAAGCACUUUGGAAAGAGAGUUAAACAGUACGUGAAAUUGUUGAAAGGGAAGCGCUUGCAACCAGACUUGCGCGCGGCCGAUCAUCCGGUGUUCUCACCGGUGCACUCGGCCGUGCUCAGGCCAGCAUCGGUUUCGGCGGCUGGAUAAAGGCCCCAGGAAUGUGGCUCCUCUCGGGGAGUGUUAUAGCCUGGGGUGCAAUGCAGCCUGCUGGGACCGAGGACCGCGCUUCGGCUAGGAUGCUGGCGUAAUGGUUGUAAGCGGCCCGUCUUGAAACACGGACCAAGGAGUCUAACAUCUAUGCGAGUGGUUGGGUGUCAGACCCAUACGCGUAAUGAAAGUGAACGGAGGUGAGAACCCUUAAGGGUGCAUCAUCGACCGAUCCUGAUGUCUUCGGAAGGAUUUGAGUAAGAGCAUA